rnacentral:rRNA from 1 species
UACGGGAGGCAGCAGUGAGGAAUAUUGGACAAUGGGUGAGAGCCUGAUCCAGCCAUCCCGCGUGAAGGACGACGGCCCUAUGGGUUGUAAACUUCUUUUGUAUAGGGAUAAACCUACCCUCGUGAGGGUAGCUGAAGGUACUAUACGAAUAAGCACCGGCUAACUCCGUGCCAGCAGCCGCGGUAAUACGGAGGGUGCAAGCGUUAUCCGGAUUUAUUGGGUUUAAAGGGUCCGUAGGCGGAUGUGUAAGUCAGUGGUGAAAUCUCACAGCUCAACUGUGAAACUGCCAUUGAUACUGCAUGUCUUGAGUGUUGUUGAGGUAGAUGGAAUAAGUAGUGUAGCGGUGAAAUGCAUAGAUAUUACUUAGAACACCAAUUGGGAAGGCAGGUUACUAAGCAACAACUGACGCUGAUGGAAGAAAGCGGUGGGGAGCGAACAGGAUUAGAUACCCUUGUAGUCCACGCCGUAAACGAUGUUAACUCGUUUUUGGGUUUUCGGAUUCAGAGACUAAGCGAAAGCGAUAAG